GAGGGCGUGGAGCUCGAUCCAUGACAUCCCUCAGCAUAUUCCCAAUAUCAUCAACUAGUCCCCUGACCUCAUUGCCCUCAUCGGCAUUGGUCGAAGUAGCCACACGGGGUUGCCGUGGGCGCCUAGGAGGCAUAGUACCUGAGGAAGAAGAAAUUUAGUAGUCCAUAACAAGACUAACACAAUAAUCACAUAUACCCAAUAACACAUAGUAUCAAAAGCAUAAAAUGCCAAUGAAUCCGCCGCGGUCGGAUCAUCACUCUAUAGACACUACAUGCUACUUAGGCAAAUGUGAUAGUGACAAGGAAGCAGGAAAAGGAAACCUAUAGCUCUGAUACCAACUGACACGACCCACCCCGAAUUUCACCCUGAAACCCAGAGUAAAUCGUGCGGGGACCACCUCCAAGGAAAAUUUACUGAAAAGAUUAAGAAAAUCUCCCUUGCAGAUGGACAACCCUAACUCGAAAAUUUCAUAUUACACUCUUAAUUUAACACUUCUGAACAUCCCAUAAUAUACAAAAAUUCUAAAGUAUUCAGAGCUACUAAACACAAGCGGAAGCAAGAAAACACGAGUAGGUUGAACAGGUAACCUACUGGCGAAAACUGGCAGAAAUGCGGGUGACUAUGCCUCGUCUCCUACUAGAUCCAACCCGAACUCUGCAGACUGGGCAAUUUAAAACGAAGGGCCCAGGGGAAAACAUUUAAUAACGUCAGAGUCAGUGGACAAAAAUAAAAUAAUAAAUAAAAUAUUUAUGUUUCCCCAAAUUAAUUUCUAAGGAAAAAUCGAAUGCAUGCCGCAAGCGAUAAACUUUUAUCUCAUAAAAUAUCGAGCCUCUCAGACUCUAUAAUAUAUGUAUGUAUUUACACUCGUCCAUACUCCCUAUAUAAAUUCAUGAGUCUAUAUAGGGCUACUACGCUCGCGUCCAACGCUCAUGUCACGCCUUAAUGCGGUGCUACACUACGCCAUCAAGGUGGACAGACGGGUGUAUAAAUAUGUGUCCAUACCCCCUAUAUGAAUUAAACACUCAAAUAGGGCUACUACGCUUACGUCCAACGCUCACGUCACACCAUAAUGCGGCUAUAUGCUACGCCAUUAAGGUGGACAGACACAUUUGGCUAGCUAGCAUUUUUUAUACAUACUCUCUCAUAUAUACAUAUUUAUAUUCACCGAAAAUCCCAUUUUCGGUAACUCUCUCUCUCAGAGAAAUAAAAGCGUCAAAAUUAAUUGACGGCAAAAUACUCCACGACAUUAAUUAUUCAAUCGUGAACUUAACAUGCAUUUAUUUAAAAUAAACGUCCACUCACAAAUUAGGCCUAAGCCUGCUGUCGAUCUGGGGUCUCGUCUGCUCGAGCCUCCUCACGUCCUGUUCCAAAUAAAAUAUUAAUUUCCCAUCCAAUAAUCCAAUAUUUAAUCAAAAUAGGCAAAAUUACCCGAGAGCCAUAAUUACGCUCAUCAUUGCCUAACUUCGAUAUUCUUACAUCGGAACGAUCCGAACUUAAAUAUCAUACUCAAUAGUCGUAAAUACAACCUCCCCAAAAUACGACUUAAAUCCAACGGCCGGAUUCUACAUUAAUUACCCGCCAAAAAUACCACACUUCGGAAAUUCACAAACCUAUCCAAAUCUCAUCCAAAAAUUCCAUAAAAUCACACCAAUAUACUCCUCUUAAUAUUCCACAUUUAAAACCCUAAAAAUACUCCUAACCGGCGGCGGCGCCGCCGGCGGCUCCGCCGGCAGCGGCGGCCGGCAGCCGUUUUCCGGCGACCUGCAAAUGCUACCAAAUUUUAACAGAAUCU
rnacentral:lncRNA from 1 species